AUCAGAUUGCCGAUUUCCUUCUUGGUCAGCGCCUUUUCGAUCAGGCGGUGGCCAAUCUGGGGGUGGUGCGGCAGCAGGGCGGCGAUCUUCAUCCGGCCCGGCGUGGUGUCGAUCACCUUGCGCAGCAGGACGCCUUCCGGAGUCAUCUCGGUGUGGCGCGCCUUGAUCUUGGCGUGCAGCGAGACGACGCCGGCGUCCAUGGCGGCUUCGAUUUCACCGAGGUCGGCGAAGAUCUUGCCUUCGCCCGGCUCACCGUCACGCGCGACCGACAGGUAGUAGAGGCCCAGGACGAUGUCCUGCGACGGCACGAUGAUCGGGCGACCGUUGGCGGGCGACAGGAUGUUGUUGGUCGACAUCAUCAGGACGCGCGCUUCCAGCUGAGCUUCCAGGCUCAGCGGGACGUGCACGGCCAUCU
rnacentral:sRNA from 1 species